UUUAACUAGAUAAAUAGAUAGAUAGAUAGAUAGAUAGAUAGAUAGAUAGAUACUUUAUUAAUCCUCAAGGAGAAAUUCAAGGUCCCAUUAGCUUAAAGACAUCACACACAACAUACACUUACAACAUAAACAGCAUGAUAAAAUAA